GCUGCCAUCGUCUAGCGGUUUAGGACAUCGCCCUCUCAAGGCGGGGAUCACGAGUUCGAAUCUCGUUGGCAGCG
rnacentral:tRNA from 1 species